rnacentral:rRNA from 1 species
UAUUAGAAACACACCGCCCGCUAGCACAGCUGCCGUCCCCAGUCGUCCAUCCCACGAGAGCCACCCACCACCGCCCAGCCCCACCCCCCUCUCCGUCUGGACCCCAUAUGUCGACGCCAGCAACCUGCGCACCGUCGCCAGCCAACUGACCGCCGGCGCCGCCCUCGACCAAGCCGUUGCGCACGCCACCUGCCCCAACCCCACCGCGUGCCGCCGGUGGCAACCUUCCCGUGCCCUCGCCGAUAGCCACAAGCCCACAAGCAUCUGUAAUUGUGGAUCUACCUUCCCCAACACCGAUCUGUACCCCGUGAUUCGACUUCCCGCCGCCGGCUAGCCUGCUUCAGUGCCACCGGGCAAGCCCACGGAGCAGCGCUCGCCCAACGCCCUGACAGUGGCCAGCGACGCAUGUGUCCGUGGCCCCACCCAUCACAACCGACCAGACUACUUCUUCCUCCUUCAUCUGAAAACGAUGAUAUGGAGGAGCCCACGACGGUGUCCCGUUUCUUCUCUGGUCAAGCUCUUCUUUUAUUUUGAAUAAGGCUUUUGUCAAGUUCCUGUACUCUUCUUGCAUCGUGAGUGUGGCAUCGCCCAGUCUAUGAAAAUUUUCUCAACAUGGUAGUGGUACAAAGAUAAAUGGUGCGAUGCAAAGCAGCUGGUGGAUUCUGGGGGAUGCCAUCGUCGCACUAGGUUUCAGAAGCUGCCUCUUCACCAUCCCUGCAAUCUUUUGCCUAUUUGGAACACAAAUACGAGAGUACAUUUGUUCUGGGAUGGGGUGAAUUUAUUGGAGGAGACUACCAGUAAGUACUAUUUUUUCUUAAUCCCUGAUUAUUUCACUGAAAUUAGCCUCGCCGUGCAUUUGUGCGGUCGUGCAUCACUUUCAUUGGAGAUCUUGCAACUUUCACUCAUUGGCGAUCUUAAUGGAAUUGCUUUGAACCAAAAUGUUCAUAGUAAAGUCUAUUCUCCCAUUUAAAUUUCUUCGAGGAAUCAAGAAUGCCAAGUACAUCACAACUUCUAAUUGUUGCUCCGAAUGAAACAGAUAAAAUCAUCUGAGUAGGGAUUUCUAGACAAGGUACAACCUACAUGUAGAAGCUUCUCAAAGAAGUUAUCAUGCCAGUAUACAUAAAUAAAAUUUAGUUUUGCUUAUGUACAUUACUGCUUCCUUAGCAAUUAAAAGAACUAUAUCAAUGUACGAUAUUCAUGAUUGUUGGAGUUCUGGGAACGGGGGUCCCAAGACUUGCCUGCCUGCGGCCCAUGGCGAGGCUCUGUUAGAGGGCCCGUACAACCCAUCUUCACCAACAAGCACUCAAGACCAUUGCGAGGGGCCAAGCCUCGCGAGGCGGACGGCGCAAGACCCCUUCGGGAGCGGCCUCACCAGGUUGGCUCGCGAGGGGCGGAGAGAUCAAGGCAAGGCAAACCUCGCGAGGUUCUCGUGAUGUGAGCCAUGACGACCGAGACCAGGCGGGCGCCAGCGCACACAGUAUCCUUGUUUCCUCUUUGGUGCUAAGGAGGCAAGCGCAAGCGCAGAGUACCGAGGCGUCAAGCAAAGGUUUCCAUAUCAGUGCAACAAGACCAAGACCGGCAAGACGGAGGUCACGAUGGAGCCCAAGGCGGCGUCACCACCAGAGCCUUUUGGAGGCGAAGACUGCUUUUGUCAGGAUAAGUUGUACUAGCUGUCCCCUUUCAAAUUGGCCGUUGUUGGCUCCCUUCCCGCUCAAUAUUUGGGGAGAGGACCAGGGCCUAUAUAAAUAGGACUAGCCACCACCGUAGGAGACAACUCAUUCGGAGCCAUCUCAUCUCAUCUUGAGUAAUCCUCACCCACACAAGUUCACCGAGCAUAAGAACACCUCGCCUCAGGAGGCUGUUCUUCCCCUUGUACUGUUUAUCCUCGGCCCAAGAGGCAAUCCACCAGCACCACACUGGAGUAGGCUAUUACACCACAACGGUGGC